GGGAGCUAAUGGAGCUGGUGUAGUCUCUCAGAGGAGAUAAUUUAGGUAUGCUGGAUAUCUUAACUACCUUUUUUAAAGCCUGGAAUAAUUUGGUUCUAAUUUCUGAGCAGGGACUUGAAGCCCACACAGCAUCUGAUCCAAAAUGGCAUCAGGCAGCAAAGGCACAAGGCAAACUACCCAUGGAGGAAAUUCUAGCUUGAAAACCUGCCUUAGCUUUACCCCAGCAGACAUGCAGAUACCACGGCUUUGGCUCAAGCAUUAUGGUGCAUCACAAAAGGAGAGACUCAAGUACCACAGGGAACACAAAUUAAAUCUGAAGAGGAGAAACUUUGGAAUGAAAUCUUUGUUUCUUCUUCAUUACCUUGUAAGGAGCUGCACUUUCCUCCUACUACAAGAUCACUGUGUUCCUUUCCAAAUGUGGAUAUUAGUCUAAAAAUCCAGCCUUCUGUAAAUGUGAACACUUAUGUUGUUUUUUUUUAUGUUGUACAUACCUGAAGAAGUGCUGCCCUCUGAUCUUUCUCCAGUUGCCUGACUCCCCACAAAAUAUUUUUUUCCCACUAGAAAUAAUGAAGCAACCUGACUUGCAAUAGGAGAACAAUGUUCUGGAAACCAUGAGAGCAGCCUGUUUGCCACAGUUACAAAGGACAAGUAUUAUAGGACCUGGAUUUCAAGAUGCUGAUAGAUAUUGCUUUUGACUUGAAUGAAAAAUCAAUUGGCCUUCAAUCCUUGACACACUCAGAAGAAAACACUUCCUUACUAGUUCUGUCAUGGUUUUCUUCCACAGGUUUGGAACAUAAUGUCAUUCUCUGCACAGCAGC